rnacentral:misc_RNA from 1 species
GAAAUGUUGUUUCAUUGUUGGGUUGAGAACCUUUUUUGAUCGUGCCUUAGUUUCCAGGAGAUUCUCUGCUACAUCCUCAUCAGAAGGUAAAAUAGCAGACACUAAAUCAGGUAUCCAGGUUGGAUUAUCCAUGACAAAAGCAACUAUACCAGGACAUUGCCUUUCGAGAUACUCCCGAGGAACACCAAGUUGAGCCAGCCUCAGAAGGACUCGAUCACGGCGCUUGAGAGGUUUAGGUUCAGCAGGCGAAUCGAUAUCCAUGUUAUCCAUGCCAAGACGUCAAAUACGCAACACCCAGUCUGAACAACAGAACCGCAAAAAUCACCGAAAUCCCCCCAGGAUUGCAAGUCCUAAACGGUUGUAGCAAGGGAUUUUGAAUUUUCUUUCAAUUUAUUUUUAUCUGCCACAACUAAAACCAAAAUUAUGAACACCACCGCCCCCCAUCUCUGAUAUGUAUGAGUUUUCACAGUCCGAGACGAUUCGCCUAUUAACUGGAAGAAUCAGCGUGGAUAAAGCAAGUAAUUGCGUGUAUGAGCGCCUUUUUCAGUAUCGGUUGUAUUCUUGUUUUGGAUUUUGUCACUCUCUCUUUCAUUACUG